rnacentral:rRNA from 1 species
AUUGUUAGUUGCCAUCAUUCAGUUGGGCACUCUAGCGAGACUGCCGGUAAUAAACCGGAGGAAGGUGGGGAUGACGUCAAAUCAUCAUGCCCCUUAUGACCUGGGCUACACACGUGCUACAAUGGUUGGUACAACGAGUUGCGAGUCGGUGACGGCGAGCUAAUCUCUUAAAGCCAAUCUCAGUUCGGAUUGUAGGCUGCAACUCGCCUACAUGAAGUCGGAAUCGCUAGUAAUCGCGGAUCAGCAUGCCGCGGUGAAUACGUUCCCGGGCCUU